rnacentral:rRNA from 1 species
UAGUUGGUGAGGUAAUGGCCCACCAAGGCAACGAUCCAUAGCUGGUUUGAGAGAACGACCAGCCACACUGGGACUGAGACACGGCCCAGACUCCUACGGGAGGCAGCAGUGGGGAAUCUUGGACAAUGGGGGAAACCCUGAUCCAGCCAUGCCGCGUGAGUGAUGAAGGCCUUCGGGUUGUAAAACUCUUUCGCGCGCGACGAUAAUGACGGUAGCGCGAGAAGAAGCUCCGGCUAACUUCGUGCCAGCAGCCGCGGUAAUACGAAGGGGGCUAGCGUUGUUCGGAAUUACUGGGCGUAAAGCGCGCGCAGGCGGCUUCUCAAGUCAGGGGUGAAAGCCCAGAGCUCAACUCUGGAACUGCCUUUGAGACUGAGAGGCUUGAGUACGGGAGAGGUGAGUGGAAUUCCCAGUGUAGAGGUGAAAUUCGUAGAUAUUGGGAAGAACACCGGUGGCGAAGGCGGCUCACUGGCCCGUUACUGACGCUCAGGCGCGACAGCGUGGGGAUCAAACAGGAUUAGAUACCCUGGUAGUCCACGCCGUAAACUAUGAACGCUAGCCGUUGGGUAGCUUGCUAUUCAGUGGCGCAGCUAACGCAUUAAGUUAUCCGCCUGGGGAGUACGGCCGCAAGGUUAAAACUCAAAGGAAUUGACG